UCUCUGAGAUCCUGCAGGUCUCCUGUGCUCCUCUUCAGGCUGAGUGAGACAGAAAAGGGUCCAGCUGCAGCACGAACAGCAGGAACUUCCAAAUAUGGUUCAUGAUGCGCUGCUUCGCUCACAGCAGAGACCAAAACGUCCAUCAGACCUGCGUACAGGAUGGAUGGAAUAAAUAAAUGGGUCCGGACCAUAUUAUAUGAAGGAUCUGCAGAUGCUUUCCUUCCUUCACACUAACAAUUGAUGAUAAUGGGCGCUUUGGAGGCUCUGCAAGGCAGCUGGAUGGUCUGUUUCUGUAGGCUACUACCAUCACUUUUUGAAAGUAUUUAUUAAAAUGGUUCUGAUAAAUUGCUUGAAAGAAAAGAAAUGUUACCUAACAAAUGAGAAUGCUGUGAGAAAGGUUUCUUUGCAUAAUAAGAAACAUGCAAUGCAAAUAUCUAAGAAACGAAUGUGCACUAUCCAAGAAAGUAACUUCAGCUAAAAAAUAAACAAGUU